rnacentral:rRNA from 1 species
GAUGAACGCUGGCGGCGUGCUUAACACAUGCAAGUCGAACGGAAAGGCCCUGCUUGCAGGGUGCUCGAGUGGCGAACGGGUGAGUAACACGCGGGUGAUCUGCCCCCUACUCUGGGAUAAGCCUGGGAAACUGGGUCUAAUACUGGAUAGGACCAUGCUGUAGGUGGUGUGGUGGAAAGAUUAGUUUCGGUGAGGGAUGAGUUGGCGGCCUAUCAGCUUGUUGGUGGGGUAUUGGCCUACCAAGGCGUCGCCGGGUAGCCGGCCUGAGAGGGUGGACGGCCACAUUAGGACUGAGAUGCGGCCCAGAAUCCUACGAGGGGCAGCAGUGGGGGAUAUUGCACAAUGGGCGCAAGCCGGAUGCAGCGACGCCGCGUGGGGGGUGACGGCCUUCGGGUUGUAAACAACUUUCAGCCAUGACGAAGCCCUUGUGGUGACGGUAGUGGUAGAAGAAGCACCGGCUAACUACGUG